rnacentral:lncRNA from 1 species
CGCCAAAAAUAAAAUUUGGAAGCUUUAAAUUAAACAACAAAAAUUAGGAUGCAUACUUCAGUUCAAAGCCGCUUUGUAGAAAAUAUGAAGGAAAUUAUAAAAAUCUCCUAUGAACAAAGGAAGACAAAAAAAAAAAUAGGAAUAGUAGCUAAAAGUGCUUUCCAACCCCACUCUAAAAGAGAAAAGAAAACAAAAAAUGCAGAGAUGUGAAAAAAAAUAUGUUCUCUUGUUAUUGCAGAGGUAUAUCGGAAAAAUGUUCUAGAGAGACAGCUUAUAAAACUUAAAAUUGUACUAGUUAACAUGUCAUGAAAAGAAGAAAAAAAAACCUCAUUUAGAUGAAUAUAUGACCAACAAGGCCUGCAUCUUCAGUACCAUCAUUGUGUCUUCCGCUGCUGCUGGCAUCUGCAGAUGAGACAAAUG